UACGAAGGAUCCAAGCGUUAUCCGGAUUCCCUGGGUUUAAAGGGCUCGUAGGUGGCCAACUAAGUCAAACGUGAAAUCCCUCGGCUUAACCGGGGAACUGCGUCUGAUACUGGAUGGCUUGAGUUUGGGAGAGGGAUGCGGAAUUCCAGGUGUAGCGGUGAAAUGCGUAGAUAUCUGGAGGAACACCGGUGGCGAAGGCGGCAUCCUGGACCAACACUGGACACUGAGGAGCGAAAGCCAGGGGAGCAAAGCGGG
rnacentral:rRNA from 1 species